rnacentral:lncRNA from 1 species
UCGGUGGCGCUGGCGGUUGCUGUCAGCUGAUUCCCGGGGUUGGUGGCAGCGGCGGUAGCAGCAAUGGACUUUCUCCUGGGGAACCCGUUCAGCUCUCCAGUGGGACAGCGCAUCGAGAAAGCCACAGAUGGCUCCCUGCAGAGCGAGGACUGGGCCCUCAACAUGGAGAUCUGCGACAUCAUCAACGAGACGGAGGAAGGGUAAGGGCCCCCCAAGGAGAGGUUGGGGGCAGAGACGGCCAUCCCACCACGCAGCACACUCCUGCACCCUUCCAGGGAGCCCCUGCCCCAGCCCCAUUGCUGCCAUAGCCACCAAGUCUGACCCAACCCGCUUGGCUGCAGAGGCCAUCUGAGCCCCUAGUACCUGAGCCCCAUCCAAGGUAGGAAUUCACAGCUGGCCCCUGGGGGCUGCCACCCCACCCCGCCUCUCUUAGUGGCAGCCCAGAUUCCACACGGAUCUGGAAGCCCAGCCUUGUGUGCAGCAUCUGCCUAGGAUGAGGCAAGCUGGAGACUCUUAAUCAGAAGUUGACCCCAAGCGCCAUCUGCAUUCUGCAGG